CUUCUAGACCCUGGAGAUACUGACACAGAAACAAUGAAAAAGUCCCAGCUCACUAGGAGCUUGCCUUCUCUUGGGAAAGAAAAUAUGUACAUAUGUAAACAUAUAAACACAACAUAAUUUGGGAAGGAGAGUCCUAGCAGUGAGAGAUCCAGGAGAACCUUCUCACAGGAGGCAGAGGUUGUGGUUAUCUUGAAGGAAGAGGGGGACUCAAGGUGGAAGUAAGGAGAGCAGGGGGCACAGCCACUAAGGUAAUACAGAAACAAGAAAUGGAUGAUGGCCAUGUGUGAAGAACAGAAAUAGGCAGGGAAAGUGAGGAGAGAGCAGUUUAUGUAUUUGAUCCAGGAGAAAUAGGGAAUCACUUUCGCAUUUUUAUUGAAAGAUAGAUUGGAGAGGAAAAAAAUUCUUGGUGUCCUUCACACUCUGUACUCACUACAUAUUCCUCACCUUCACAUCAUUCAUCAUUGACAUCUUUCAUAUGCAGAUAAUAUUAUUGAUGCUCAAAACCUGGAAGACUUUCUGAAGGCUAUGGGGGUUGAACUGACAAAAAAAGAAAAGCAAGCUCUUCUGAAACAACUGCCACUUGAUGCCAAUGGGAAGAUGAAUAAGAAGGAUAUAAUGAAUGCUCUACAGAAUUUCAGUGGAGGGAAAAUUGAUGUUAACAACUUGAACCAGCUUCUGGGAAACCUGGGGAUCAAGCUCACAGAUAGUGAAAUGAGGGAGCUACUGAGUAAUCUGCCAGUUGAUGGUGAGCAUUUCUCAUGCCUCUGUGAGCUUGUGGGGAAUAUUUGA
rnacentral:lncRNA from 1 species